rnacentral:rRNA from 1 species
UACGUAGGGAGCAAGCGUUAUCCGGAUUCAUUGGGCGUAAAGAGCGCGUAGGCGGUUUGUUAAGCGAGGUGUGAAAUCCGGGGGCUCAACCCGCGGCUUGCAUCUCGAACUGGCAGACUUGAGUCUGGUAGAGGAAAGUGGAAUUCCAAGUGUAGCGGUGAAAUGCGCAGAUAUUUGGAGGAACACCAGUGGCGAAGGCGGCUUUCUGGGCCACGACUGACGCUGAGGCGCGAAAGCUAGGGGAGCAAACAGG